GGUGAGUAUCGUGUUGACAAAGGUGCAGCUCCAAAGAUGUUGAAUUGUCUCAUGUACAAGCUAUCCUACUAUCGGUUUGGAGAAUUGGUAACAGAAAUGGGCAAGCCUCCAGGGUAUGAUCGUGCAAGAGGUGUUGAAAUUGGAAACAAGGACAUUAAACUUGAAUACUUGGAAGAAGCAUUCACAACAUCUAAUUGGAUCGUCCGUAU
rnacentral:misc_RNA from 1 species